AUUGAACGCUGGCGGCAGGCCUAACACAUGCAAGUCGAGCGGCAGCGGGUCCUUCGGGAUGCCGGCGAGCGGCGGACGGGUGAGUAAUGCCUAGGAAUCUGCCUGGUAGUGGGGGAUAACGUUCGGAAACGGACGCUAAUACCGCAUACGUCCUACGGGAGAAAGUGGGAGAUCUUCGGACCUCACGCUAUCAGAUGAGCCUAGGUCGGAUUAGCUAGUUGGUGGGGUAAAGGCUCACCAAGGCGACGAUCCGUAACUGGUCUGAGAGGAUGAUCAGUCACACUGGAACUGAGACACGGUCCAGACUCCUACGGGAGGCAGCAGUGGGGAAUAUUGGACAAUGGGCGAAAGCCUGAUCCAGCCAUGCCGCGUGUGUGAAGAAGGUCUUCGGAUUGUAAAGCACUUUAAGUUGGGAGGAAGGGCAGUCAGUUAAUACCUGGUUGUUUUGACGUUACCAACAGAAUAAGCACCGGCUAACUUCGUGCCAGCCGCCGCGGUAA
rnacentral:rRNA from 1 species